UGAUUUCACUAUUUUCUUUGAGUUUCUGUGAUGUUUCCACAGUUGUGCUUUACUGUGACUGUGGCCUUCUGAAGUAGUGAUAAUGAGCUUCAGAAACUGAAUUGACAAUUGCAUCCACAGCACACAGGACCAGUUGCAAAAUAGCUGAGUGAUUUGAGGAUUCUGUGGCUAUGUCUUCAUCUUUUCCUUUUCUUCCUACCCAUACAGGAGAGAAGUAUCCCAAAUUGCCCAACUCUUGUCAGAUUU